GAUUACAGACGAGACGACAGGUUGAAGUUUUCUUGAUAUGAGUUUAUUUAUUUUAGAAAAAUACACUGUGACUCACUGUCUGAUGUUAUUUUAUUUUUAAUAUGUAACGUUUUAAUGCAAUUUGCUCUGGUAAUGAGGCGCUUUGAUAUAAUAUAUAUAUAUAUAGGUAAAUGUGCCUCCCUGUUUUGGGUCUUGUGUUGAAUCCUGUACGCCUUCAUGGAAAAUAACGUUAUUUUUAAGUAAAGAAUUGCAGAUGGUAAACCUCGGGUAAAAGCGAUCACAUGUUGGACUUGGAUUGGAGCUGGAGGACUGUGGGAGAGAAGUAAAGAAGAAACACUCUGGUGGAAUUCGAUGGCUUUGGAAGAUUCUAGGUUCUGCAAGUACAUCAAGACUGGGUGUAUCCAAAAGUGCUGGUACCUCUGUCAACAGUGCACAGCACAAGUGUUACAGUGAGCAGUUGGUCACUAUGGAUGAAGUUUUGGGAUACUUAGCCAUACAAAUACAAUCUGCCAGAAUCUCAAAGUUCAACAUUAACAGAAGAGACAUCUGGGAUGGAGCUGUACGUGGUUUUAAGAGUAGUUCUUAUGAACCAUGCUAGUGAAGUUUACGGAUGACUCUAGCAAUACUGAAGAUGGAAUUGAUGCUGGAGGGCCAAAGAGGGAGUGUCUUCAACUUUUGAUUCAGAAGUUAAAAGUUACUUUGCCUCAAACUAUUUCCGGAAUGGUUUCUGCUGGUGAGAUUGAGGGUCAGCAUGAUACAGGGGGUGGCCAGAACAACAAUGUGUGGGCAGUUUCAAACAGGAAAAUGGAGUUGGUUUGACAGGCUGUGCCCUACGUCCAAGUUGAUUUGUAAAUUAACAAUGCAUUAACGUUUUGCUUUUAAAAGAGAUUUCUGCUGCAUUUUAUUCUUUAAACUGGAUCCUGUAAUUAUGUGGAGUUAUAAAAUGCAAAAGUGUAUUCUCCUUGAUGCUUGUCCUUGAAGGUUGUGUGCAUUCUGAAAGGACCACCUACUCAAUUUCUUUGUAAUAGCCCAUGCAUUGCGAAAGGACAAGUAAUUAUGGUAACAAGCAACACAAAGCAAGCUAAAAAGUCCCUGUUCUGUUUUAGUUUGAAAUAUAGAAUUUUAAUUUUAAAAGCAUGCUGAAAAAAUGGCUUUGAAGUGUGUAAAGUAUUCUUAAAAUCCAGCUACUCUUAGUUUGUAGUGUGCAAUCUAAAGGUGUGUUUAUCCAAAGCCUAUGUAAAACUGGCUACAUAUAGUAGAAAAGUAAGUUGCUGUUAGUGAUGCACAUUUCUCAUAACCUUUGUGGCAUGUAGAAUUUACUGUGCAAAUCAUUAGAUACUGUAACAAUUAAACUGCUUUGGAAACUAAAGAAAUUAUUCUUGUAGUAUGGUUGAACAUUUUUCUUUCUGAGAUUACACUGAAGCCAAAUGUGAAAGUUUUACUUUUAUUAUUUUUUACUUUCUGUAGAUUUGAUUGCUUAGUUAUAAAAAAAAAAAUACAUUAUACAUUAUUUAAUUUGGGGAUAUCUUGCAUUGACUUUUACCACCAGUUUGUCAUUUAUGAAUAACUUUACAUAAUGCAUGGGUCAGGAAGGUACUCAUGUAUUGCAUUGUGUCCAGAUAGAGAGAUUUUAUAUACUAUCUAUCUUAUCAGGACAUAAUACAAUUGUACCUUCCUGACCCAUGAAUUCAUUGGAUUGUGGGAAGUGUUAAUUCAUGCUUUAUACAUAUGAUCAACAUAAUUUGUUACAAAAGAACAUGGAAUGAACAUGGGUAAUUAAAUUCAACAUUAUUGUCCUA